GCGUUUUGUGAAUCAGAUUAGGUUACCAUUGUCAUCCUCUUACGUCUCUGACCUUUUCACCUCCUCGAUUGUUAAACGUAUUUCUCUUAAUCUCUCCAAUAAAUUUUAUUUUCAUUUAAUCCAAAACGCUAUCGACUUCUCCGUUUUCUCCACGGCAAACCUAUAUCAAGCAAAUCGCUCUCUCCCCCAUCCAUACACAAACAGAGACAUUCAUCGAUCAUAUCGCCAUUCUAUCCUCUCUGGUGACGAUUUCUCUUUGAGUGUGCCUCCUUUAACCAGCUCUAUCUCACAGAGCUUCGCCAUAUACUGCAGUGCUUUUACAUUUUCAGGACUAAAUGCAGAGUGAUGAUGAGCUGGAUCAAGAGGUGACUAAUUUUGGCAGAGAGACGUGGACCUUCAAAAGCGCAAGAAAGAAAUUCGAGCUAAUCUGGUAAUCACUUUCUCUUUUUACGAGAAUUUCCAAAGCAUUUUGUUAUGAUAUUACUUCUUCCUGGACAAGUCAGUGUACGCUCUAACGCCGGAAGCUAGAAAGACGCGAUUUGAGUUUUUGGAAUCCAACAUGGAACAAUGGAUGUCACUACCUGGAACCAAUGCGUUUGGCUUUACAAGAAACCCUAUUAUACAAUGUUUUUCCAUGGUUCCUAACAUGAACUACUUGAUUUGCUUUCUCACAUGUGACGCUUUCUUUCAGAUACAUAAGCUACUUCAUCAAAUUGGGCAUUUUUGUUAAUCAGGUGCUGACUUAUGCUGUUACGCACAGCAGUCUUACAAGUUCCAGUAUCAAGUAAUUGAGCUGAAAAAACAGCCAAGCAGCUCAAGGAGGCGUUUGCAAUCUCUAGCGAAGAAACAUCAAGUUGCACGGAAUUCAAGUAAUUUCAGCUAAUAAAAUAGAUAAAGACAAGUUCUUAGGCCUCCACCCCUUAAAUCACGCUCGACUCUGGGCAUACGGAAGCAACUUUCUUUUUUGGCGUUCUGAAAAUGUCCUUAAGACAUGAUAGAGAAGGUAAAAAAAUUAUUGCCAAACUCAACAUAAAGGAAGACUUAUCAAUGGUUGAGAGUUGAGACUAGCUUGGCUUCUAUCAAAACUUCAUUGGCACAUAUUCUCCCCAGAUCCAAGAAGGUGUAUCUCCGAUCAUGGAGGCCAUGAAACCUGGUCAGGACUGUCGCAAGCCUGAAAUGGAAGGUGUAUCUCUGAUCAAUGGAGGCCAUGAAACCUGGUCAAGACUGCUGCAAGCCUGAAAUGGAAAUGUUCUUACAUGACGUGUAUCAACUACAAUUUGUUGUGCAAGUUUGUGUACUUGAUUAUGGAGCUAAAUCCAUCAGUUGCAAAACUAUCUUAGUCAUAAUUUAUGUGAAAGGAAAGCGAAUAAAGGGUUUUCUGUUUAA